rnacentral:lncRNA from 13 species
CUGUGACAAUGUCGCCGAGAAGUAUCAUCACUUUGUCCCGCAGCUGCCGUGCACACAAACCUCAGCCAUCAGCUGUUCUCUGAAGCACAGAGUCCGGUUCUCAGAAGCCAACCCAAGCUGCGCUUUUGGCCGUCCUCUCUCACUUCGCGGCCAGGACAUCCGCUGUGACUGUCCUGUUUCCUGGGGAGCAACUUCAGCUCAUCCACGUCCUGCACAGUGCUGCAGGCGGGGCAGCACGACACGCUUGUGGUAUGAGAGUCUUGGCACACGUGAGGUGGGGUCAACUCAGUGAGGGAUUUGUGGCACCAAAACUAAUCAAUGUGACAAACAGUUAAAGGUAGAAGGAACCUUCUAUUCCACCUUUGCCCAGUUUAUGACCAAGUCCCUCAACGAGAAAGUCAUGAAGGAACUGUGAAAGAAGGCGUUCCACAAACUGCCUGAGACAGACUGUGAGGUAUACCACAGUUUAUCCAUUCACCUAUUGAAGGACAUACCAAAUCUCGAUUCCAAGUUUUGGCAAUUACGUAUAAAGCUGUCACACGUGUUGGUCUUCUUUGUGUGGACCUAAGUCUUCAAUUUGGAAAAUACUAAGGAGGCCAAUUGCUGGGUCAUAUGUUUCUGGGGAGAAGUUGCAUGGUUUCUAAGAAGAAGUUGAAUCUUUUCAUUUAUAUAGACGCUCCCCUGUCAUUCAGUCAUAGAGAGGUAAGUCUGAAUUUAUUUUCUAGGAAGCUAGAUCUUAUUAACAUACCAUGUAACUUUACUUCAAGGUAGCUCUUUCUAAAAACAGUAUUACUACCAUGCAGCCUUAAGUACCCAUACUCUGGAAACACUUAGAGGGAAUGAGAUGAUUGGGAGAAAGAAGAUGGAGAUCAGAUCUACUUGAAAGAAAUACAUCAUGAGGAAACUUGAAACUAUCGAAUACAGAGAAGUUUGAGAAUCUUUCUUAAUCUUAAUUAUUUGUUCUAUAUUUAUCUCCUUUUGUCACUGAU